GGAGGUUUUCCUUCCUUCUUUUCCUGUUUCCCCGCAAUAGAAACGGCCCCGGUGAUGUGGCGCUGACGUGGUCGGCGGCUCAGCUGAAGAUCUCUGACAAGACACUUUCAUGAGAAGGAUAAGAAGGAAUUUCAGGCAACAAAACACGUGCUGUCUUCUACAGAAAGCAGGUAAAUGAGAAGAUGUGUUCACCCCUCUCAGCUU
rnacentral:lncRNA from 1 species